rnacentral:rRNA from 1 species
GACGAACGCUGGCGGCGUGCUUAACACAUGCAAGUCGAACGGUGAAGCGCCUUCCUUUUUGGUGGGUGUGGAUGAGUGGCGAACGGGUGAGUAACACGUGAGUAACCUGCCCCCUUCUUCUGGAUAACCGCAUGAAAGUGUGGCUAAUACGGGAUAUCCUGGGUCUGUCGCAUGAUGGGUCUGGGAAAGAUAUUGUUUCGGUGGGGGAUGGGCUCGCGGCUUAUCAGCUUGUUGGUGGGGUGAGGGCCUACCAAGGCGGUGACGGGUAGCCGGCCUGGGGGGGUGGACGGUCACACUGGGGCUGCGACGCGGCCCCGACUCCUACGGGAGGCAGCAGUGGGGAAUAUUGCACAAUGGGCGCAAGCCUGAUGCAGCGACGCCGCGGGAGGGAUGGAGUCCUUCGGGUUGUGAACCUCUUUCGCCAGUGAAGCAGGCCUGCCUCGUUUGUGGGUGGGUUGACGGUAGCUGGACAAGAAGCGCCGGCUAACUACGUG